rnacentral:rRNA from 1 species
UACGUAGGGUGCAAGCGUUAAUCGGAAUUACUGGGCGUAAAGCGUGCGCAGGCGGUUAUGUAAGACAGGUGUGAAAUCCCCGGGCUUAACCUGGGAACUGCAUUUGUGACUGCAUAGCUAGAGUACGGUAGAGGGGGAUGGAAUUCCGCGUGUAGCAGUGAAAUGCGUAGAUAUGACGGAGGAACACCGAUGGCGAAGGCAAUCCCCUGGACCUGUACUGACGCUCAUGCACGAAAGC